rnacentral:misc_RNA from 1 species
AAGUCGUAACAAUUCCGUAGGUGAACCUGCGGAAGGAUCAUUGUUUCCCGACCAUCAAUCCCGACACAAGAUGGGUCACGAAGCGCUGUAUGGUGUUUGAAGGUGCACGGGGGGGUUUAACGUUGGAUACGUGUUAGUUGGUUGUCGGGGGAGAACCUCGCGUUGGCACGCCGAGACGCGGGGACCAUUCCUGGUUGCGAUGUAAGCGUGGUCUCCACUUCAACUUGUUUAGUACCUUUUGUCCUCUACCCGUACCGCUUGUCGCCACGAUUUGGAUCUUGAUGCACUCGUUUUCUUAUAACCACCGCUGGAAAACUAUGUCUUCCCGCUCUUGGCUCUC